rnacentral:rRNA from 1 species
UGAUUUAGAUCUAAGUGAGUGGCGGACGGGUGAGUAACACGUGGGUAACCUGCCCAGAAGUGGGGGAUAACAUUUGGAAACAAGUGCUAAUACCGCAUAACAACAUUAAACACAUGUUUUUUGUUUAAAAGAUGGUUUUGCUAUCUCUUCUGGAUGGACCCGCGGCGUAUUAGCUAGUUGGUGAGGUAAUAGCUCACCAAGGCGAUGAUACGUAGCCGACCUGAGAGGGUAAUCGGCCACAUUGGGACUGAGACACGGCCCAAACUCCUACGGGAGGCAGCAGUAGGGAAUCUUCCACAAUGGACGAAAGUCUGAUGGAGCAAUGCCGCGUGAGUGAAGAAGGUUUUCGGAUCGUAAAACUCUGUUGUUG